rnacentral:piRNA from 1 species
UAAGGUUCUAUCUUUGGCAUGGAGAUAUA